rnacentral:ncRNA from 1 species
AAAAAUUAGGUGCUUUUAGCUUAAUAGAGGAAGUUGGGUGAAAUUCCCACACAGCGAAAGCUGCUGUAAGGUGGACGAAAUUACAAUUAACCACUGGGUAACCGGGAAGGUGUAAAAGUAGGAUGAAACCAAGUCAGAAGACUUACCAGUUCAUAUU